GGCAGACGGGUGCGUAACACGUAGGUGACCUGCCCUAAAGUGGGGAAUAACUAUCCUAACGGAUAGCUAAUACCGCAUAUGCUCGGUGGUUCGUUCUGCCGAGUAAAGCUCGUAAGGGCGCUUUAGGAUGGGCCUGCGGCGGAUUAGCUAGUUGGUGGGGUAAUGGCCUACCAAGGCGAUGAUCCGUAGGGGGCGUGAGAGCGUGGCCCCCCACACUGGCACUGAGAUACGGGCCAGACUCCUACGGGAGGCAGCAGUGAGGAAUAUUGCACAAUGGGCGAAAGCCUGAUGCAGCAACGCCGCGUGAGGGACGAAGGCCUUCGGGUUGUAAACCUCUUUUCUGAGAGACGAGACAAGGACGGUACCUCAGGAAUAAGUCUCGGCUAACUACGUGCCAGCAGCCGCGGUAAGACGUAGGAGGCGAGCGUUAUCCGGAUUUACUGGGCGUAAAGCGCACGCAGGCGGCUUCGUUAGUCGGAUGUGAAAGCUCCUGGCUUAACCGGGAGAGGCCAUUCGAUACUGCGAGGCUUGAGGUUGGGAGAGGGGUGUGGAAUUCC
rnacentral:rRNA from 1 species